rnacentral:rRNA from 1 species
AUGCAUAUUUUCCUAGGUGCUUCACAAGGAUCUGUGCUGUUCUCAUUCCCAGUGGGCGUCUGCAAGCAGUUUUUAUCAUCUUUGAUCGCCUUGCUGACGCCACAUUGUGCCAACUUCGCCUUAUGUUUGCUUCCUCCAAGAUGCUCAUUUAGACCAGCUUCACAUGUUGCACCGUCUACUAGCAUGCAUAUUUUCCUAGGUGCAUCACAAGGAUCUGUGCUGUUCUCAUUCCCAGUGGGCGUCUGCAAGCAGUUUUUGUCAUCUUUGAUCGCCUUGCUGACGCCACACUGUGCCAACUUUGCCUUGUGCUUUCUUCCUCCAAGAUGCUCAUUUAGACCAGCUUCACAUGUUGCACCGUCUACUAGCAUGCAUAUUUUCUUAGGUGCAUCAGAAGGAUCUGUGUUGUUCACAUUCCCAGUGGUCGUCUGCAAGCAGCUUUUGUUACCUUUGGUCGCCUUGCUGACGCCACAUUGUGCCAACUUUGCCUUAUGUUCUCUUCCUCCAAGAUGCUCAUUUAGACCAGAUUCAGAUGGUGCACUAACCUGGUAUGGUGGUGCACAACUCCAGUCCUCGGCUAGUUUCUGUACUUUCUUUGGUACAAUAGUUGCAGCAUUUGCAUCUGCUUUACUCUUCAUCAUUGGAACCUUCGGUGAAAGAGCCUGA